CAGUAGCCGCGGUAAUACGUAGGGUGCGAGCGUUAAUCGGAAUUACUGGGCGUAAAGCGUGCGCAGGCGGUUCGUUAAGACAGAUGUGAAAUCCCCGGGCUUAACCUGGGAACUGCAUUUGUGACUGACGGGCUAGAGUAUGGCAGAGGGGGGUAGAAUUCCACGUGUAGCAGUGAAAUGCGUAGAGAUGUGGAGGAAUACCGAUGGCGAAGGCAGCCCCCUGGGCCAAUACUGACGCUCAUGCACGAAAGCGUGGGGAGCAAACAGGAUUAGAGACCCCCGUAGUCCCUGUCUCUUAUAA
rnacentral:rRNA from 1 species